UAAAUAUGUAUACAACAUACAAUUCAUCAAAAUUUUGAAUUGUUUUAUGGACUUUGAACUUGUAAUUAGGAUGUUGGUAUGAAAAAUUUUGGUGUUGUUUAUAGAUAUGACAACCUUUUCCAUUGUAAUGAGGUAAACCAAAGGCAUCAGAAUUCAGAGUGGACUAUAUUUCCCGUUGGGGACUUUUCCCUGGAUAUUUCCUUUGACCUAGCUGCUUGAAGCCUGCGGUCCUAGACCUUCUGCAGCUACGAGGGCGAGACAUUCGAAUAAGUGAUAUCACCAUAUAAUUUUGAAUAGCAACCCAAGUAGAAGUUGUAGCUUGGUUUGCUCACAAAUCAAUUUAUUAGACCUAUCUAACAUGUAUACUAUAAGAAAAUUGAAAAAUAGUGAAAAAAGCAUGACAAAUGUUCUAUAGAAAUGUCCCCUUAACAUUAUAAAGAGUGAAAGGCAUGUCACUCCAUUGUACCCCAGCUGGGUAAAAUCAAAUAUUUAUACGAUAUAUAUAAUUUUACAGGGAAUAAUAUCAUAAGGUAUUCAGAAAGACUUGGACUAAAUACAGGUAAAGACUGGGCAGUCAGAAUUUUCUUGGUUGCAGGGGAAAUCUAGAUAGUCUAGGGAGGAUUAACUAUUUUGUAUUGUAAGUGUCAGUCCAAAUAUCUAGCCCAGCAGAAUCUCAACAGAGAUUAAUCAGACUGGGGAGCUCAAUUAGUAGAGUACCUGUGAGACUAGUGGUGCAGGGGUCAGGGUUCAAAUUCUGAACAAAGGAGUCCAGCCACACAAUUUCUUUACAGGCACCUGGCAUUACUUAUUUUUCUAAUUUAAAAAAAUUAACCGUAGUAAUAAGUAUGGGCUGCAUUUAUUUUUUUAAAGUCUUUUAUGAGAGUAUUCAAAGAAAUCUAGGUGUACUCAGACGACUCUUUCUGUAUUAACUAGGUGUUUUGGCAUGUUUGGAUGGUUACAUGAAUAUUGCUCUGUAGCAGACAGAAGAGUACGUUAAUGGACAGCUAAAGAAUAAGUACGGGGACGCCUUUAUCAGAGGUAAUAAUGUUUUCUACAUUAGUACACAAAAAAAAGGAUCUGAAAGGAUAUAUACAUGACUCUACAAUACAGAAACGUACCUUCUGUAACACAGAGCAAAGAAAAUCAUGUGUUCAAUCCGGCAUUGAUGUAUCAUCAACUUGUUAGUUACUGAGAAUGUCAUUUGUUGCAGGUUUAAAGUUUCAUUGUCAUUGUCAUGCCAUUAAAAUUUAGUUCAUUGUCAUAGUUCUAAUAAAUAUUAAUGU